CUCGCUACGACGUAAUUGAUUGUUUGCAGACUUUCUAACGAAGAACAGCGGAAAACGUUAGCUGUUUAGAAAAAUGAAAUGAAUAUUCCCAUUAUGUACGAUUUAUAACGUUUAUUACAACAAAAUGUAAGCUAUGACCCGUCUAAACACAUUUUAAGUGUUGAUAUGAACAAAAUAGGCUAUGACUGACUGCACCGGUAUGGCUGUAUUGUCUCUGACAAGUCCUCCAGAUAUGAAUAUAUGGAUCUUACAGUUCAGAUGGAUGAUGCUGUAAUGCGAAGUGUUACUCACAAGCAAUUAAAUCACAAGUGCGCUCCAGCAAUAAAGGAUGCAUUCUCAAAGAAUAUCUGUGACUGACACCAGCUUUAUCUGCCGUCUGGUCACCGUGGGAACGCAGCAUUAAAAUCAUCUGGGCUUGGCAAGCUGACUGUGACAACCCUCAUGAUGGAGAGAUGAGCUCCCUGUCCACUACAUCCCCUCCUCAUGAAAACACUCAUAUAUCACAGAAUAACCAUUGGCUCACACGGAUAAGGAUAGCACUAAUUCAAAAUCAAAGAUGGGGUAGAUGGACAGAUAGAAAACAGGAUAGGUUUUCAGCAGAGCUAAAAUGCUGUCUGCUAAAAUCUUGUGUGAGGAUUACUUCACUCAAAACUGUAAAUGUUUAUAAAAAAGAAGCUACAAGUUUAAAUGUGCAAGUAAAAAGGAUAAAUGAGUGGAGUAUACACAUUAGAAGCCCAAACCAUUUGAGAUCAACGGAAAGUUGCGAUGGACAUUUGUGCAACCUCUUUGCAACCUGCUCAACUAAUCAUAUCAAUUAGGACUGAAGUUAUUAUUUCUUGCUCUGAAAAUCUAUAGUCUGACAAGCAAAUUUUUCAGACAUGCAUAUUAGAAAGUUUUCUUCAUUUUGACCUCAGUUUUGAGGACAUUGGUGAAAAGUCCUCAUUAUACCUAAACCAUACAAGUGCAGUUGACUACAACCACCUGAUGUGCUAUUAGAUGCUGUUGAAGCCUGAUUACAGGCCUGAUGUAUUAAUUUGGUUCUACCUAAACACAGAAAAAUUUCCAAUUUUCUAACAGAAAAAAAGCUGUUACAAAGCUUUUUCAACAAUAAGAAAAGACACUCUGUAUAAAAUUGGACCAAUUAAACCUAUCAGAUUGAUGAUAAGAGCACAUAAAAUUACUAAAGCUUAUAAUUGUUUAUACUAUAAUAAUACUAGAAUAACUCCAUUUUCAUCAUAUGGACAAAAGCAGUAAAUGCAUUCUUUAAGAUAUUUUCUUUUUUGUAGGUAAAAUAGAAUGAAAAAUGCCUUUAAAAACAGAAUAAUAUAAGAAUAAAUUUAGAUGUUUUGGAUUUAUGAUGAAAAUUCCCAUUAACACGUCCAGUCUAAACCUGUUUCUCAGAUACCAGGAAAGCACAAGUUGUUCACAAUCAUCAUCUUGCGUUGGUCUCAAGAAAUGGCUAGAAUGGAGAACAUGUCAGACUUCAGCCCGAGGGGAUAUAAAUGGACCCUUGUUGCCUUGUUGUGAGUGACAGUUCAACAAUUAAACUGACAAGGUGAACACAUUCACACUCGCUGGGCCCUGCAGCCUCUGUCUAAGGAGACUAAAUGCACGGUAGAUUUUAUAAGAUGUAAACAGCAUGCAGGCUUUGGCCACUCAGAUGUCCAAUCAUUCCUGUAUAAUGGAAACCAGGAGUGCAUUAAAAUGACAGUAGCCUGAAACUCUUUCUCUUAUACUUUAUUCCUGGUUGCCGUUGGAAUAAUUGAUGGAGACUUGUUUCUUGUUUAUUGUUGGAUUUAUUGAGCAGACUGGCUAUUUUCACUCUGGAGGGGUCUAGCAGACAUAUCAUGUGAUUACCUUUCCAAACCAGUUUUGUAUUAUAGAAGAAUAAUUAUAUCUGUUCUUGAAGGUUUUUUUUUUUUUCCUUUUCUUAUUUUUGAAAAUAGUUACCGUUUUACACUUUUCUUAAUGUUCUCUGGGA
ensembl:lncRNA